UUAAUAUGAAGAAAAAAAUAUCCACGACACCAGAUAUUAGGCUAUUACAUUGGCACUGUGCAGUUUGCCGGUUGGGACCUUCCAUAUCAGAGGAUUUACAUGUUCGUUUUCCUGAGUAGUUGGGAGAUUUCCAUCAAACUAAGUCACGUAACUGUUAAUUUCUUGGAGGUAAAGGUCAGAAGUUGUAGUAAUUUGCAUGAUUCGAGGAUAAUCGCCUAUGUUCAACACAACCUUGUGACUUGCCGUUCCAGUACUUCAAUUAAAGAAAGCUGCCGUCGAAAUUUGGCGAGUUCAGGAUUGAAACGUUGUCAUUGCUGCUGAGUUAUGAGAACCGCCACCUAGUGCCUCACACUUAAACUAAUCACGUAACCUGCAUAAACGAAAAUGGGUGGCGCAAACUCAAUACCUGGACUGGAGACAUGGUACCCAAAUGCCAAAGAAAAGGACUGUAAGUGUGCGAAAUGUGGCGUGACACUCCUCUGUGAGUUGGUGGCCUGCAUGGGGCAGCAGACGUAUGCAUUUAUGAAGCAGGCUUUGGGAAAAGAAACCGUCACCAUUUCGAAGAAGGUUGGUGUGGGUUUCGGUCCGAAGGGACCGACAGCCAGCGCUGGGUCUGAGAGGUCAGUAACAAUCGAAAGGGGCGAGUGGCUCAUCACUUAUCUCCGUAGAUUAGAUUCCAAACACAUGUGCACCGAUUGUUUUAGGAAAUCUUUUCCAAAAGAGUUCGCGGGUAUUCUCCUGUCAUCUGUUGGAAAGGCCAAGGUGAUUAAUUCGCAGUACGAAUGGCAUACAAUGAGCUACGGAACGACAUAGUGAUUCCUGAAUUCGUAUAUCUAUCAUGUUGCACGUAGGCAUACAUCCUUCUUUAUUUCCGAAUCAAGUUGGUAUAUAUUUAAGGUAAAACGUUUUCAUGUAAAGUAAACGAUUGAUGUUAUCAUGUGGGUUCAUGUUUAAUAUGGAUAAUGCAAUGACAACGUGAUGGCUAUUUUACAUCGCACAACGAAAACAAACAUUCUGUAUCCCCUAGGAGACCAUUUAAAUCCACAUGUGAAUUACUUGAUCAUCGUAAUUGUCUUUGGAAUGGGGUAGUUUUUUGGUGUUCAGAGUUAUAAAAUGGACAUGCAACAAUAAAGCGAUUUUCUAAUUUUAUUAUGCAGUGGGUUUUCAUUGUGGUGUAACAUAAGCAAAUACCUGUGGUUCCUUUCAAUUAUUUUAAUCCUUUGUUUUCUUAUUUCGAAGGUUUUUGUAUUAAUGCAAUAUGAUAUUUUUAAUCUUAAGGUUGUUUUAUCCGAGUUGGUUCUAGCGAAAGUAAUAUACGUUUUAUGUAGCGUUGUAAAUAUCGCAUGAUACCUGAUUUCAUGUUAUCCAAAAACUGCGUUUAUUUCAAUACCCUGCGCGAAAUACUGUAAAACCAUUAUAUAGAUGGAAUGAAAGUCCAAUGUUAUUGUAAUGGACGAAAAGAGCUGGUGAGGAGUUGAUGUGCGAAUGUGGUUUACUUAUUGAAAAGAAUGGUCCUUGGUGCAGGUAAUUUUACACUAUAAUACACUUCAAAUAUUGUAUCUAUAUUAAUUAAGAUUUCGUGCUUAUGGACUUUUAAUGGCAAAAUUAUGGUACUUUUUUAAUCAAACUAUAUACAUGAUUUUAGUAGUUACUGAAGUGGAAAUGUAAGAAAAGUAAGACAAAAUAUGUACAAUUAUGAAUGAAAUUAACGAUUUUAGAGACUAUGCAGGUCCGAAAAUAAACUCGAAUAAGACAGAAGUUGUAAAACUGAAUAUUGUAGAUACAAUUUUGUUAUGAUAAUGACAUUAUAUACGGAUAAACCUGUUAAAUAUUUAGGAGUAUAUUAUGUGGGCGAAAAUAGGAAACUGUUACAAGAUUUAAACUGGAACGUGAAAAAAGAUAAAAUUCGAAAUUUAUUAAAUAUGUGGAAAAUGAGAGAUCUUACAUCUGGUACAAUAAUUGUUUUGAAAAUGUUAGCAGCGUCACAAAUUGGUCAUACCGCAACUGUUGUACCAGUACCAAAAUACAUUUUACAGAUAUUGAAUAGACUAUUGUUUUGUCUCUUAUGGAAUUCAAAAAAAAAAAUUAAACGUAAUGUGAUUAUAAAUGAUAUUGAAAAUGAUGGAUUGAAUAUCUUUACUUCGUUUGGCAUGAAUAUCUGUAAUUUGAAAAAUGUGUUUAGAUACUGGUCAGACAAAAUUGUUUGCCACUUUGUUCAAUUUUAAUAUAAAAUAUAUGAAUUGAUUAUGCUCUAAACAUAAUUUGCCAGAAUUGUAUGUGGACCUUUUUUGUACUUGGUCAGAACUAAGAUUCAUUGAUAUGUUUAAAGUAAGAAAUAUUCUAAAUGAAAUUAUUUGGAAAAAUAGUAAGAUUACCUUUAAGAAAACAUAUUGUUUUCUCGAUAAUUGCAAGAUGCCGGCUUAUUGAAAAUUCAUUUAGUGAUUACAACUGGUAUUUGGAAUGACUCUUAAUUUAUUAAUAAAAAUGAACGCACAACAGCUCCUAUUUGAUUUUGAAUAUACAAAAUUAAAGAAAGCAUUUCCGCAGUGUCGGUUAGAUAGAUUGAGGAAUGUCAAUGAUUUUGAAGAUGAAUGUGAUAUUUCGAAUCUUAAUAAAAUAGAAACAGGGGAUAAAGUAAAUGAUCUUCUUUUGAAAGUGAAAGAUUACUAGCGUUUGUUAAUAUGGAUGAAGUUUAAAAAACCAAUUGUCAUUUAUUUUUGGAAUUCCUUUCUAGAUUUAGGUGAUGACUUUGUUUGGAAGGAUGUAUUUUCAUUUAAAUUAAAGCAAAUUCGUAAUAAUAAAGUUAAACAGUUUAAUUUCAAGAUGAUUCACAGGUUUAUUGCCUCAAAAGAAAAUGUACAUGAAUGGCAAAAUGUGAAUAAUAAUUUAUGCAACACUUGUUGACAAUUUGAUUCACUAUAUGUUAUAUUGCAAGGAUGUGAUUAUGUUUUGGAAAAUGAUAUGUAAUUUGAUAUUUCACCUAUUCCACGUAGAAAUACAAAUAAACCAACAUAUAUCAGUUGUGUCUAAGGACCUAUAGGCCUAUAGUCUUCUGAAUAUUAUUUUUGAUUAUGCUCAAUAUGCAAUUAAUAAAUAUUACGUUAAAAGGAUUGUCAAUGGUUCUGUUAUUUACCCGCAUGCUUUGCUUUUUCAAUACAAGUCGUUGCUGAGAUUGUUUUGAAGGUAAUAAGGAAUUAAUACUAAGCUGAAGAAUUGUUGAAUAUACUUUAAUAUUUAGCCAAUAUUAUUUUUCACUCAAUCACUGAGUAAUGAAUGUAAAUGAUCAUGUAUUGAAAUUAUGGAAAUAAAGACCAUGCUUGAGGAUUC